UCUGAGGCUUACCUAGCCUUUUUACCCUCUCAAAUUUGGACUAUUCGUAUGCAUCAUUUCACAGUAUUUUAACCCACACACUGAACAUGCUCCAAAACAACUGUUGUGGCCUGAGAUUUCAAAAUGAGAAGCCGUCCCGUAACUGUGUGGAUUAGAAUGUGAGUCACUUAGUUGAAUCCUUAUCACCCCCACCCCUGCCGUUUCCUUCCUGCAAGUCCUAUCAAAAUGAGGAAACAACAACUUCAAUGCAUUAUAUAAACCUGCUUAUUCUAUUCGUAAUAUAGCUGCAGUCUAGAUGUUAAAGCAUAUCCACAUCUGUAAUUGGGAUUUAACUGCACUCAUUUGAGUAAUGUGCUGGAGAGAUCCAAACCACUGCAACUAGCAUCCACACCUGAUAAAACCAUGCAGCUUGGAGGCAGCACCUCAUGGAUGUAAGACAAGUUACCCUCUCUCUGAGUAAAGGAAGCAAGAUGUCACUCACCCGGAUGGCAAAGGCGAUGACAGUGACAGCCAGACCAUAGAUGAUGGUGACCCAGAACCCCAGCACCCAUACCCAAGCAGGGACACCAUCAUCUCCAGAGCCUUCACAUCCCACAGUCUUCCUUGCCUGGCACUGGAGAGCUGACCAACCAAUCAAAGAGAGAGAUAGAUAUGUUAUGGUGAAGCUGACCACAGAUGGUGUCUAGAUGUAUGGAAGGGAUCAUUUGCCCAAGAACAGGCUGAACCUCAGCCCCCCCCCCCAAACCGGCUGAAGCAAUGGCGAAAAUGCCGUUCAGUAUGCUUCUUCACCACUUCUACAGUGAGACCUGAGUCCGAGCCAGCAACCUGUACACAGCAUCCAGUCGAAGCUAUCAACUGCCUUUUCUCUCAUGCCUUUUCUCUCAGAAGUGCGACAUGGGUCCACGUGGAGUGAGCAUGGAGUGGGAUCCCAUCCAAAUGUCUCUCAUGCUGCUGGUGUACUGGUAAGAAAAUGAACAACACACAAUGGACUGUAAAGGACAGUGGCGUCUCAGGUGAGAGACAUUAUCAAGGGCCAUCCACUUUGAACAUGUGCCAUUGGGAAGACGAACUGAAACACUAUCUGAAGAAAAACAUGAAGAAACGCCAGGAAAGGAAGAAUGAGUGCCGUGAAGGGGGUGGGGGAGGGAGGUGGCCUUAAAUUUAGGCUUAUCCAAAAUUGUUUACUUGGGGUAUCAGGUUGAUUGUGGAGGUCUGCACACUGUGAAAUGUUAAGUAAUUUAGACUAAGAAUGCAUUGAAAUACCAAUCUGUCAUUACCACAAAUGGGGGCCAUGACGAGAAAAGUUAAUGCUGGGAAAAUAAGUUCAAUGUACAUUCUGCCAGUGUCGGUGUGUGCUAAGUUGAGGGUCAUAAAUUAAAGUGAUAGAACCAACGUGAAGCACUAAGGACUGUCAUUCUAAAUUUGGGUUGGAUCCUUUAUCAAUAGUUAUAAUUAUGAUUUGGAAAGGCGAGGCUUCUAGAGACAGAGAUGUGCCCUAAAAUGUGAGGAGAGCCACUAGAUUGUAGCUUGGGCUAACCUUGCCCCAAUCUCAUUCUUAUCAAGGUUGGUGUGAAACUGUUAUAACGUGUUCUCUCUCUUCACUGUGAAAUGUUAUUAACAUGCUGUAUGGCGAUCUGUGCCUCUCUGGCUGAUAAUAUUUCAGCAGCUAUUAUGUUUUCUGCUCCUCCAGAAGAUGGUGAAACUAAUGAGCUGCCAACUCUGGAUGAGCUCCUAUUUCCCCUUGUAGAUACAAAAGAUGAAUAAUGAUUGAAGGUUGUUUUCGUUUAACAAGAAUUGUUAAACGACAGGGUUUUAUAUUUUGACUAAGUUGAUGUCCCAGAGACAGUUAGUUAAAAACAGGUAAAUCCAACCCGAUUGUGGUAAGAUAUGGAAACAAUGGUUAACAUUGUGAGAUUUAUUCACCUCUCAAUCUACAGAUCCCUUGUGUAUGUGUGUGUAUUUUUGAUACUCACUCCCAUUAAUAGAAGUAUAACCUUUAUUGGGAUUAUAGUAUUACCAUACUAAUUGGAUUGUACAACCCAGAAUGAAGGGUUUGAAAUGA